rnacentral:rRNA from 1 species
GCGGUGGGGCGGGCUACACAUGUCAGUCGAGCGGAUGAAGGGAGCUUGCUCCUGGAUUCAGCGGCGGACGGGUGAGUAAUGCCUAGGAAUCUGCCUGGUAGUGGGGGAUAACGUCCGGAAACGGGCGCUAAUACCGCAUACGUCCUGAGGGAGAAAGUGGGGGAUCUUCGGACCUCACGCUAUCAGAUGAGCCUAGGUCGGAUUAGCUAGUUGGUGGGGUAAAGGCCUACCAAGGCGACGAUCCGUAACUGGUCUGAGAGGAUGAUCAGUCACACUGGAACUGAGACACGGUCCAGACUCCUACGGGAGGCAGCAGUGGGGAAUAUUGGACAAUGGGCGAAAGCCUGAUCCAGCCAUGCCGCGUGUGUGAAGAAGGUCUUCGGAUUGUAAAGCACUUUAAGUUGGGAGGAAGGGCAGUAAGUUAAUACCUUGCUGUUUUGACGUUACCAACAGAAUAAGCACCGGCUAACUUCUUGCCAGCAGCCGCGGUAAUAAAAAA